UGGGGAAUUUUGGACAAUGGGCGCAAGCCUGAUCCAGCCAUGCCGCGUGCGGGAAGAAGGCCUUCGGGUUGUAAACCGCUUUUGUCAGGGAAGAAAUCUUCUGAGUUAAUACCUCAGGAGGAUGACGGUACCUGAAGAAUAAGCACCGGCUAACUACGUGCCAGCAGCCGCGGUAAUACGUAGGGUGCAAGCGUUAAUCGGAAUUACUGGGCGUAAAGCGUGCGCAGGCGGUUUUGUAAGACAGAGGUGAAAUCCCUGGGCUCAACCUGGGAACUGCCUUUGUGACUGCAAGGCUUGAGUGCGGCAGAGGGGGAUGGAAUUCCGCGUGUAGCAGUGAAAUGCGUAGAUAUGCGGAGGAACACCGACGGCGAACGGCAAGUCCCCUGGGCCUGCACUGACGCUCAUGCACGAAAGCGUGGGGAGCAAACAGAUUAGAUACCCUGGUAGUCCACGCCCUAAAACGAUGUCAACUGGUUGUUGGGAAGGUUCCUUCUCAGUAACGUAGCUAACGCGUGAAGUUGACCGCCUGGGGAGUACGGCCGCAAGGUUGAAACUCAAAGGAAUUGACGGGGUCAUAGCUGUUUCCUG
rnacentral:rRNA from 1 species